CCUACGGUGGCUGCAGUGGGGAAUAUUUGACAAUGGGGGAAACCCUGAUCCAGCAAUGCCGCGUGUGUGAAGAAGGCCUGCGGGUUGUAAAGCACUUUCGGUUGGGAAGAAAAGUUUGGCGCCAAUACCGCCGAACCUUGACGUUACUGACAGAAGAAGCACCGGCUAACUCUGUGCCAGCAGCCGCGGUAAUACAGAGGGUGCAAGCGUUCGUCGGAAGCACGUAGCGUAAAGCGUGAGUAGGGGGUGAAAUCCCCGGGCUUAACCUUGGAACUGCAUUCGAUACUACAUGGCUAGAGUAUGGUAGAGGGAAGUGGAAUUUCCGGUGUAGCGGUGAAAUGCGUAGAUAUCGGAAGGAACACCAAUGGCGAAGGCAGCUUCCUGGACUAAUACUGACGCUGAGGCACGAAAGCGUGGGUAGCAAACAGGAUUAGAUACCCCAGUAGUC
rnacentral:rRNA from 1 species